rnacentral:ribozyme from 1 species
UGUCAUGCAACUCCGAUCCUUACCUCCAAGUGGCACUGGCCGGGAUACGAGCAACCUUAGGGAAGCUCGGGCAGCCAUCCCCGGUGGGAACUUUGGUCGUAUGCUGACAGGGAAGG